UUGAGUGCAGUGCAGUGCAGAAGCUGAAGCAGAUGCCGAGUGCAAAAUAACGGAGUGCUUAUACCCGGUUCAAUGUUAUAUUUUUGUUUAUUUGUUUUUGAAAUAUGUACAUAUUUAUAAACUAAUAAGAAUAUAAAUUUGCAUAAUUCUCUCUUCAAUUCAAAUCCAAUUUGAAUAUUCUAAACAAAAAUAAUUUCUUACGAUUGUGCUGUGUUUGCAUAUUUUGUUCAAUUUCAAUUUGAGAUGGUUUUUGUACUAUUUAAAUUCCUUCAUCGUCAUUGCAAUGGGCAAAUUAUGUUGUUCGAGUGAACAUGGAUAUAUCAGAUAUUCUGAACGAUCUGUUGCAUGUUUCGACAAGUUCGUGAUGCAAAGCUUAGAUUGCAAAUCUAAUAGACCGAAGUUCUGAAAACUGAGACACCCCAUGAUUUAUAAUGACAGGAAGUUUAUACUCUUAUUUUCAAGAGAAAAAAAAAUGGAAAUUGACUUAAAAAAAAAUCCAGAUCAAUUUCAACAUCAAAGUUCACAAAAAAUUAUUGAAAAUAAAAACAAAUUUUUCAACGGAAUGGUUUAAUUCUUUAAAAAAAAGCAUCAAUUACAUAAUAUUAUUAUGUUCCAUGAUAGAGCCAUAAUAAAUAACUAU